AGCUAUGGGAAGGUCAGACAGGGCAAAAGCUAACCUACCACCUGAAAAUGUUACAGUUCUGAAAAAUUGAAUCUUUUAAAUACAAUUGUGGGAUUUAUAGUAUUACCCAUGUCAAUUUGAAGAGUUUGUUUCUGUCCUACUAUUAAAGAUACUUAUCUUCUUGGGCUAAGUGGAUCGUUGGAAUUUGGAUGCUACAGUACCCGUUUGGUGACCCCUUUUAUAAUCACUCAGAGGCUUCUGGUUCUUUCUCUUCUUGACUAGAAUGGAACCAUUUUCCAGUGACUUUUUAAAUUCACAAUAUGAAGUUUUUGUAUCCUAGACCCACAAAAAGAUGAGCUGCUUGACAGAGGUCAAGAAGGUUGUGGAGUGGGUGGGCUGGGACAGGAUUCGGGAAUCCUUAGCAGUGGCACAAAGUUCUGAAUACAGCCUGCGUUAGACAUGGACAUAUUGGGAAGUAUUUGGGUCUUCUUCGUAUGGAGACUGCCAUUUUAAGGGACUUUGAGUUAGACUGUAUAUUUCAGAGGCUGGAGGAGGAGGAGGGAAGACGAGAGAUACAAACAGAAAAGUGUGGAACAGUAUUUGGGUGGAUCAGCAAGUGAGGCAGAUUUUAAGUAUUUCUUAUUUUAUUGGCCUAAAUGCAGUCUUCUAGGGAAGGGUAAAAGUCUGGAUUAUAUUUAGAAGCCUCUUCAUACCAAUUUUUUAAGCUGUAUUUUAAAAUAAAUUUUAUACUCAUGAAGAAUUGCAAAAGCCAAUACCACCAAUUCCUGUGUGUCUUCACCCAGGAUUCCCCAGAUGCCCCAAUGACAAGAUCUUAGGUAACCUUGAUACAUUAUCAGUACUAAGUAAUGGGCAUUGAUUAAUGCUGUUAACUACACUGCAGACUUUAUUCGAAUUUUGUUACAUGUCUUUUUCCAGUGUAUAUUUAUAUGAAAUUUAGUUAUGUUAUAGAUGCAUGGUAACUACUGCCAUAAUCAGUAUACAGAAUAUCCUAUCACCACAAAGUCUCUUAUGCUACAGUUUUAUAAUCAUACCUUCACAGAUGUGACCCCCAGCAACCACUGAUGUGUUCUCCGUCACUAUCAUUUGGCCAUUUCAAUAGUGUUAGGUAAAUGGCAUCAUGCAGUACAUAGCCUUUUAAAAUUGGCUUUUUUUUUUUUGUACUCAGCAAGUAUCCUUGAGAGUCCUUCAGCUUGUCACAUGCAUCAGUAGUUUCUUCUUUUUUAUUGCUGAGUAGUAUUCCAUUGUGUGGACGAACCACUGCUUAUCCAUUCACUUAUUGUAGGACAUUGUGGUUAUUUCUAGCUUUCAGCUAUUAUAAAUAAAGUUGCUAUAACCAUUUGUGUAGAUUUUUGUAUGGAAAUGUGUUUUUAUUUCUGUAGGAUAAAUACCCAGCAGACUUAUGGCAAGUCUGUGUUUAACUUUAUAAGAAACUGCCAAAAUCUUUUUCAGAGUAGCGUUUUAUAUUCCCACCAUCAGGAUAUGAGAGUUCUAGUUGUUCUACAUCCUCACUAACAGCAUUGUGGAGUUUUGGGCAUUAUUUAUACAUAUUAUUCUAAUAGGUGUAUAGUGGUAUAUCACCAUGACUUUAAUUUGCAUUUUUUAGUAGCUACAAUGUUAAACAUCUGUGUUUAACAUUGAAUACCACAUGCCAUUUGAAUAUCCUCUUUAGUAAAGUGUCUGGUUUUGUACAUUUUCUAAUUGGAUUUUUUGUUUUCUUACUGUUGUAUUUAGAGUUAUUUAUAUAUUCUGGAUAUAAGGUCCUUGUCCGAACUGCGAAUUGGAAAUAUUUUCUCCCAGUCUAUACCUUGUAUUUUCAUCCUCUUAACGUGGCCCUUCUCAGAGCAAAAGGAUUUGGUUUUGAUAAAGUCUACUUUAUUGAUGUUUUUCUUUUAUGGUCAUGAUUUUAGCAUCAUGUCUAAGAACUCCACCUAAUCCUAGCCUAUUAAAAGAUUUAUGGUUUCACUCUUCACAUUUGGAUCUGUGAUCCAUCUUGAGUUAAUGUUCGUAUUAGGUGUGAGGUUUAGGUUUAGGUUUGUUUUUAUGACCAAGAAUGUGCAGUUACUCUAACACCAUUUGUUGAAAAAAUCUUUUCUCCUUUGAAUUGGAUUUGCCCUUUUGUUAAAAUCAGUUGGCCACAGUUGCAUGGGUCUAUUUCUGGACACACUAUUCUGUUCCUUUGAUCUGCAUAUCUGUCCCUCCACCAGGACUUCAUUGCCUUAACUGCUAUCACUGUAUAGUAUUAGAAGACUGAAUAUUGUGAUUCCACCAGCUUUACUUUCUUUUGUGUUUUUUAUGCUUUCAUGUAAAUUUGAAAAUUUUCUCAUAUCUACAAAAACUCCUUCUGAGGUUUUGAUGAAAGUGGUAUUAAGCCUCUGGAUCAACUUGAGGGGAAUUGACAUCUUCAAUAUGUUGAAUCAUCUUUCAAUCCAUAAGCACAGUUUGUUUCUGUAUUGACUUAGGUCUUUUUAAGAUUUUCUUCAUGAGAGUUGUGUAAUUUUCUCCGUACAAAUCCUAUGCAUAGUUUGUUCAAUUUAGAUUGAAGUUAUUUUUUUGGAGCAGCUGUAUAAAGGGUUUUGUGUUUCUAAUUUCAGUUUCAAUACAUUUGUUGCUAGUGUAUAGAAAUAAGUUCCAUUUGUGUGUAUGUGUGUGUGUGAACUUUGUAUCCUGCAACCCUGCUAACUCACUUAUUAGUUGUUCCCUUCCCUGUUUCCCAGAAGAGAUGGUAUAAAGUUACUGUUACUUAUUCUUUUAAUGUUUGUUACAGUUCAGCAGUGAUACCAUCUGGGCCUGGAGAUUUCUUUAUCAAAAGGUUUUAAACUGUUAAUUCAAUUUUUUUAGUAGUUAUGAGACUAUUCAAGUUAUCUGUUAUCUUGGGUGUUUUUAUAGUUUGGAAUUGGUCCAUAUCAUCUAAAUUGUCAAAUUUAUGUGCAUAGAGUUGUUUGUUGUAUUCCUUUAUUAUCCUGUAAUGUCUGCUGGGUCUGUAAUAGUAUUCCUUCUUUCAUUACCAAUAUUGAUCAUUUAUGUCUUUCUUGCACUUUCCCCCUUCUUAACUUCCUGUCUCCCCUCCUCUCCUCUCCUCUCUCCUUCCCUCUUCUCUUCUUCUCCCCACCUUUUGUCAGCCUUGCUUGAGGUUGAUCAAUGUUAUUGAUCUUUUCAAAGAAUAAACUUUUGCUUUCAUUUUUCUCUAUUGUUUUUCUGUUUUCAAUUUCAUUGACUUUUUACUCUUACGUUUAUUCCUUCCUCCUACUUGCUUUGGGUUUAUUUUGCUCUUCCGCUUGUAGUUUCUUGAGGUGGAAGCUUUGUUUUGGAUCUGAGACCAUCUUCCAAUAUAAGCAUUUAGUGUUAAAUUUAUAAAUUUCUCUAAAAGUGAAACUGCUUUAACUGCAUCCCAAAGAUUUUUAUAUGUUGUAUUUUCAUUCCCUUCAGUGUAUUUUUACAUUUCCUUUGAGACUUUCUCUUUGACCAUUGGAGUAUUUAAAAGUGGGUUGUUUAAUUUCUAAUUGUUUUGUGAUUUUCCUGGUAUCUUUCUGUUAUUAUUGAUUUCUAGUUAGAUUCAUUAUGAACAGAUAAUAUAUUUUUUAUGAUUUCAGUCCUUUUAAAUUUGUGAAGGUUUGUUUUACAUGACCCAGGAUAGGAUGUGGUCCAUCUUGGUAUCUAUUUAUUAGUUGCCAAGGCCAUUUUUUCCUUGCUGAGGGGCUUGGCUUAGAGAUAACUUACAUCUCUUUUGCCCACAUUCCAAUAGUUAGAGCUAAAUCAUAUGGCCACACCUAACUGCACAGAAGGCUGGGAAAUAGAUUUUAGCUGUGUGACUUAGAAGGAAAUGGGAAUCAAGUCUGGAAAUUACAUAACACUCUCUUGUUUUUGACUUUUUUAAAAUUUUCUCCCUUUAUUCCCAUUCCCAAUCCUAUAGUUAUUUAACUACAUACCCUAGUGUAUUUAAUAUAUGUCCUUCUGAUCUACCUUCUGUACAUUGAAUUAGAUUUUUAUGAAUCUUUCAAAAAUACCUAAGAUUUCUUUUAGUUUUUUUUUACAUGUUUAUAAAUGGUUAUUGUCUGAUAUAGUUUGGAUGUUGUAUCCUCUAAACCUCAUGUUGAAUUGUAAUUCCCUUUGUUGGAGGUAGAGCCUAAUGGGAGGUGACUGGAUCAUGGGAGCAGAGUUCUCUUGGAUGGUUUAGCAUUAUCCCCUUGGCGCUGUCUUUGCGGUACUUCUAGCAAGAUCUGGCUGUUUAAAGGUGUGAGGCAUCUUUCCCCUCGCCCUCUGUUGCUCCUGUUUUCACCAUGUGACAUGCCUGCUCCUGCUUUGCCUGCUGCCAUGAGUAAAAGUUCCCUGACGCCUCUCCAGAAGCUAAGCAGAUGCCAGCACCAUGCUUCCUGUACAACCUGCAGAACUUAUUGGCUGGAGUUGGCGAUGACUCAGCAGAUCAAGGCUGGAAGACUCAUUCUCGUCAGGUGGUUGACGUUGGCUGUCAGUUGGAACCUCACCUGGGGCUGUUUGCCAGAACACCUACACAUGGCAUGUCCAUGGAGCUAUUUGACUUCCUCACUGCAAUGGCUGGGUUCCAAGAGCAGUUAUCCCAAGAGAACAAGGCAGAAGUGCAUGACUUUUAGAAUCUUGUCUCACAAGUCACACAGAGUCACUUCCACCAUCCCCUGUUGGUCAAGGAGGACAUGAAGGUCUUCCUAGGAGCACGGGGAGAAGACAGACUUCUACCACCUGUUGGAAGGAGUGUCAGUGUUACAUAGCAAGAGAAGCACAUGGAAUGGGAUGUAUUGUGAUGCCCAUCUUUGGAACAGACAAUUUGGCAUAUCUGUGAAAAUUAAAAGUCUGAUU
rnacentral:lncRNA from 1 species